UUCUUGAUUGUUGAACUUGGAUUUUCAUUUCCUUCAAGAGAAUCAAGUAAAUUUCUGGCUAUUUUUCCUGCUAUUCUCGAGAUUUGAUAAUUUUAUUGUUCAAGGUAUUUAGUAUCUUCUAUACAUUAUGCACUUUGAAUAGAGGAUGGGCUGCCAUGACUAAUCUUGAUUCAACUGGAGUUCCAAGUUCAAGUGAGCUUGAGGUUCUUGUAAUUAUAUUUCUUCUGUUUAAUCUUUUUUGAGACAUUAAAGUUCUUACGGGAAAAAUUAACUCUUGUAUCAGGGAAAAUACAAGGCAGUGGUGGAUUGUUGGUUUCUUUGAUUGGGAUCCCUUGUUUUCAUGGAACUUUAUGCUGAUAAUCGGAGAUUACUAUUAUAAUUUAUUCCCAGUAAGCACUUAUAUCCAUCUUUUUACUGCUUAGAAUGAU
rnacentral:lncRNA from 1 species